rnacentral:rRNA from 1 species
GAUGAACGCUAGCGGGAGGCCUAACACAUGCAAGCCGAGCGGUAUUUGUUCUUCGGAACAGAGAGAGCGGCGCACGGGUGCGGAACACGUGUGCAACCUGCCUUUAUCUGGGGGAUAGCCUUUCGAAAGGAAGAUUAAUACCCCAUAAUAUAUUGAGUGGCAUCAUUUGAUAUUGAAAACUCCGGUGGAUAGAGAUGGGCACGCGCAAGAUUAGAUAGUUGGUGAGGUAACGGCUCACCAAGUCAAUGAUCUUUAGGGGGCCUGAGAGGGUGAUCCCCCACACUGGUACUGAGACACGGACCAGACUCCUACGGGAGGCAGCAGUGAGGAAUAUUGGACAAUGGGUUAGCGCCUGAUCCAGCCAGCCCGCGUGAAGGACGACGGCCCUAUGGGUUGUAAACUUCUUUUGUAUAGGGAUAAACCUACUCUCGUGAGAGUAGCUGAAGGUACUAUACGAAUAAGCACCGGCUAACUCCGUG